rnacentral:lncRNA from 1 species
UCAGCAUCUCAUGCUCCCAACACCAAACCACACCCAUUUAUCCUUCCCAUUAAGAAAGACCCUGCAACCAAUCUGUUCUACACUUCAGUUGGUGUAGGAACUCCUAGGCACAACUUUGAUCUAACCAUUGAUCUUGCUGGAGAAAACCUAUGGUACGACUGUAACACUCAUUACAACUCUUCUUCCUACCGUCCUAUCGCUUGUGGCUCAAAGCAAUGCCCCGACGUUGGAUGUGUUGGCUGCAACGGCCCCUUCAAACCAGGUUGCACAAACAACACAUGUCCUGCUAACACAGUCAAUCCAUUAGCAAAAUUCCUUUUCGGUGGUGGCUUAGCUAAGGAUUUCAUAUUCAUUGUUCAACAGAAAGUGUCUGGCUUGCUUUCUAGCUGUAUUGACACCGAUCGAUUCCCAUCCUUCACCGAUAACGAGACACCUCUAGAUGGCUUACCCAAAAACAGCAGAGGAAUUGCAGGCUUCUCAAAGUCGCAGCAUGCAUUACCAAUUCAGCUUGCAUCCACUAAUAAGCUUCCUUCCAAGUUUUCUCUCUGUUUACCCUCUUUAAACCACCAAGGUUUCACCAACUUGCUUGUUGGAACUGGGAAACAUCCUCUGGGAAUAUCCAAAUUUCUCCAAACCACCCCUCUCAUUGUCAACCCCAUUUCCACAGGUCCGAGAUCUGUGGAAGGUGUUGCUUCCAACGAAUACUUCAUUGACGUGAAAGCAGUUAAGAUUGAUGGGCAUGUUGUGAACCUAAAGCCUUCCCUUUUGUCUAUUGACAAGAACGGAAAUGGGGGCACCAAGAUUAGUACCAUGAGUCCUUUCACUGAAUUACAAACCUCUGUCUACAAGCCUUUCCUUCGCGAUUUCCUCAAGAAAGCCUCCGAAAGAAGAUUAAAGAAAGUGGCAGCAGUGGCACCAUUUGAGGCAUGCUUCGAUUCAACAAAAAUUGGUAAUUCCGCAACAGGACUAGUUGUGCCAACUAUUGAUCUAGUGCUGCAAGGGGGAGCAAAGUGGAGUAUUCAUGGAGCCAAUUCCAUGGUUAUGGCAAAGGAAAAUGUUGCAUGUCUGGCAUUUGUUGAUGGAGGGACAGAGCCUGUAAUGUCUUUUGUGAAAGCUUCAAUUGUGAUCGGAGGAUAUCAGUUGCAGGACAACCAUUUGGUGUUUGACGUGGCUUCCUCUAAAUUAAGCUUCAGUUCUUCGCUGUUGCUCCACAAUGCCACGUGUUCUCACUCUUGAAUGAGAUGUGUGUUUUUGACGCGUUGAAGUUAGCCACGUUGAAGAACAUGUAGCUAGUAGCUUCUAUCUUUCAAUGCUUUGAGGAUAAUUGAAGAAUAAAUGUUUGCUUUGUUGUAAAUGGAAACACACCUUAGCGUUUUCAUGUGUGCCAUUUAGAGGGGUAGAAUUUUUUCUAAGAUUGAUAGAGAACUUCUGUAAGCUGUGCUCAGCAUCUGCUACAAUUGCUAGCAGGAAAAUGUAGAACUUUCUAAAUUAUGUAUUGUAUCUCUUUAUCUCUCUCUCUUUCUAAAUUAUUUAUUGUAUCUCUUUAUCCCUCUCUCUUUCUAAAUUAUUUAUUGUAUCUCUUUAUCUCUCUCUUCUAAAUUAUGUAUUGUCUCUCUAUAUAUAACUUUUUUCACUCUAUACAUCUACAUCACCCAUCUAUAUAUAUGGAUUUCUCCCUUUAUUUUUAUUUUAUUAUUUUAAAAAUGUAUAAAAGGAGACAUUUGUGAGUAGUUAAAACUUUAUAUUUCAAAAGGAUAAGAAGAGAUAACACUAUUUUUAAUUAAAAAAAUUUAAAUUCAAAAUUAAACAUUGCAAAAUAAAAUUUGUUGAGAUGGUAAAAUUGCAUAUUUUUCUCUCUUUCAUUUUUACUUUUAACCACGAAACCAAGUAAGUGUUGUAUACUUUUAACCACGAAACUAAGUAAGUGUUGUAUGUUGUUUUUUAAUUAUAUAGUAGAAUAUGAAAAUAUAAUGUGUGAAUUUUAUUUUUUUUAUUUGUUUUUAGAAAAUGUCAAAGUUAAGCUUGCGUACCAGAAAACGGGUAAAAGUAAAGAAUUGUAAAGGACUUUCAACAUUUUAAUGUUACAAUGUUAGGUUAAUCAUGAAAACAGGGAUUCAAAGUUUACCAUAAAGGAGCUUCACUUUUCUCUCAUACACAGUCACCACUCCUGAUAAAAAUGCAACAACCAGUAAGCAGAGGCGCGGAGAUACGCUACAUUUCUACCUAUUAACUGAAAUAGAAAUUGAAACAGAAGAUAAAAUUGUGGAGCACCCAUGAGAAUUCCAGAAAGUCUAAGAGCCAUAGGAACCGAUGGGUUCAGGAUCUCUUUGCUUCACAUAAACAAAGAAAUAGAAUCAGUGAUGUAACAGAAAACAGAGAACAGUUGGGAUCAGAGUUAUAACUUAUAAUAAAUACAGAGCAGAAACGGACAUAUUUGACCAAGAGGAGCCUUCCAGGCAAGAAGCUGGUGUGAGUAAACAUCUUCAAUACAAGAGAAAUUAAACUAUCUGUAUAUACAAUUCACCAAAGUAGCAAAACCUCUUAUUAUCUUAAAUUAGAAAAGGCAAAGAUAGAAGAAUUUGAAAGCAAACCUUGCAAAAAAAACUCCCUCCUCCGCUUCGCAUUGCAACACUCUCUACCCGCAGAUGUAAUGUCUUAUAAUGUAAUGCAGCAAGUAACAACAAACACGCCUAUUGCUAACAACGAAUGUGGCAAACAAAGAGCUACCCUCAGUGCACCGAAUUUUCCCGUGCUACAAGCAUGACUAUAACAGGAGUAGCAGUGAUGUUUACUCACUCCCGACUGUUAGAGUGGGCUCCACAUGUCAACGAUUUUUCUCGUUUUUUGUUCAUCGAAGAUGAAUUCGUUAGAAAAAGGUAAAAACCCAUAAAAAAUGGACACGCGCAUCACAUUGUCACGUGACUCUCAUUUUCAUUGUUCCAUCUAUACUUCACUCACCAACUACCAAGCCCAAUCCCAAUCUCGCAGAGAGAGAGCUUUGGUAGAUGGAGGAGGCACUGGUGGAAGUGUGCGAGCCCGCAGAGGUGCGAAUAGAGUUCGCACUCAACUGCAAAUGCCGAGCCACGUGCGGCUUCGCUCUCUAAACCCAAUCUCACCAGUGGCUUUCAAGAUCCAAACCUCAUCGCCAAAAAAGUUUCUGUCAACCCACCCUGUGGACUCAUUCUCCCUUUAUCCUUCGCCACCUUCAAAGUCAUCCUUAAGCCGCAGUCUCAUCUCCCUCGCUCCUUCCCUCGCUCCCCCUCCAACCGCUUCCUCGUGAAAACCGCCGAGUUCGCCGCCAACUCGUCCGGGUCCACUCACCCCGACUCCAUCAACUCGUGGUUCGCCUCUCGCCCCUACGGAUUCAAAACUCGGGACAUCAAACUGAAGGUGGCCUUCGUGGGACCCUUCCUCCUUAACGAUGCCGUCACGCGCGGAGAAUUGGACGCGGUUAGAAACCUAAUCAAACGACAGCGUUCCAUGCUCGCGGAUUUGUCACCCGCCGAAGCCGAGUAGCUCCUCGGCGCCGCCACAAAGCUGCAGGAGCCGGACGACAUGGUCCACCUCCUCCUGGAAGCCGGCUUGAGAAUAGUCCCCAGCCCCAACGCCUCUGAUGAAGUACACGUGGCGGAAGAUACGAACACAACUGUAAGUGAAAGCGAACAACCCAACCUAAUUGGCCCAUCACUUAUAAUGCUCUGUUUUCAUAUUUUUGUUGUGCUCAGAGAGAAGUGGUGGAGGUGGGAGAAGCAAUAUUUGAAGGUUCGAGGAAUGGAGAGGCGAAUGAAGUGAAGGCACUGUUGCGAAGAGGUGGUGGGAGUGUGAAGUAUCGUGAUCAAUAUGGUUUGACGGCGCUUCAUGCAGCGGCUUUUAAAGGGCACAAGGAUGUGAUGAAGGUGCUUAUUGAAUUAGCGGGUUUGGACUUGGAAUUUGAAGACGAGGAAGGUCACGUGCCCUUGCAUAUGGCGGUGGAGAGUGGCGAUGUGGAGACGGUACAAGUGUUGGUUGAGGAAGGUGUGAAUCUUAAUGUUGUGAAUAAAAGAGGGUGCUACCCCUUUACUAUCCUAAACAAAGAGAAUGCACAUGCCCAGAGUCAUCUUUAUAAAGUUUUGUAAUAGCUUAAUUAUUUAUGUUAAAACUCAAACCUAUUUGAAGAUAAUUUUGCAUAAGAGCACCCGGUAUUUCAAAACAGUGAAUUUCUCACGUACCAAUUUGUCUUAUUUUGACUUUGACUUUGACAUUAAGAUUUACAAGUACUACGGAAUGCAAAUCUUAAUUAGGAUAUUUCUACCUAGAAUCCCUUUUCCUUUAAAAACUCUCACUUUAUCUAAAAUUAAAGUUACAUUUGUCUCAUAAUAAUUUAUAUUACCCAAAUAAUCUAUUUUCUUUUAUGAAUGUAAUUGAGCUCUAUCAUUUUUAAAAGAAUAAAUAUGCAUUUGAAUUUCAGUUUAAAAAUUAAACUAAAUUUGAAUUAGAAAUAUAUAUUAUAAUUUUUUUAGUUAAUUUAAAUUUAAGAUGAAUUUUAGUUAAUUAAAAAAAAAAAUAAUGUCAAACAUAUUCAGAUAAUCUUUGAGUAUUACAAACUAAAUCAAAUGCAGCGUCCCAUUGUUUAAGAACCAAAGCAUGUAUCUUUUCCCUUUCUGAGACAGCACCUAUGCCAGAUGUAUCUGCAUUAGCCAUCUGUUACUGACGAAAAAGUAAAAACCAGCACCAUGAAUAACAUAUAGAAAAAUAUUCUUUCAUAUUAUAUAAAACAAAACACUCUCACUUUACAACCUAUUUGAAUAAUACAAUAAUAUAUAUCAAUAAUUUAUAUUAAAAUUAAAAUAUAAAAGAAAAAUAAUUAAAAUAAUAAUAUAAUGAUAUAAUAGAGAGUCAUCAUUGAUGAGUAUAUUACAUCGUUAAAGUCAUUCAACCGGUGUAAUAUAUGCGUAUUACACCAGUUAAGUCAUCUAAUCGGUGUAAUAUAUGACCCAAUAACGCUGAAUACUUGAACAAUAAACAAAGAAGCAACGACAACCGCACAAUAAAAACGUUUAUGGUUUGUGUUUCGCUUGUUUACUGAUUGUUUUGUGCUUUCCCCUCCUUCUUUGUCCCUCCAUUUGAUGAGGCCGUUGCUUCUUUCUCUCUUUUGUUCGACCUUUCCUUUCAUUUAAAACUCUUUCGCUUCCGUACUCAAACAUUAAACUCUUGCACUCUUACAAAAAUGACACAUAACAUAACUCCCAUCAGAAUUUAAAAAAAACCUUCCACAUCUUCACCCAAAAUCACAUCUACGACAUCUAAGUAUGUAUGUGUUAGUGGACAAAGAUGUGUUAACAAAACAUUUUCCAAUAAUAUAUUGAUAUCCCCUCCAUCAUUCUUCCUAUAAAAAGAGAACUCAGCAUUCUGUAUUACACACACCAACACCAUUCAUUAUCAUUCUCUUAGCAAUGUCUUCCUCUUUUGCCAUCCAUUUCUUCCUAAUCUCAUUACCCCUUUUCUCAGUUUGUUGCUUAUCAGCAUCUCAUGCUCCCAACACCAAGCCUCACCCCUUUAUCCUUCCCAUUAAGAAAGAUCCUGCAACCAAUCUGUUCUACACUUCAGUUGGUGUAGGAACUCCUAGGCACAACUUUGAUCUAACCAUUGAUCUUGCUGGAGAAAACCUAUGGUAUGACUGUAACACUCAUUACAACUCUUCUUCCUACCGUCCUAUCGCUUGUGGCUCAAAGCAAUGCCCCGAUGUUGGAUGUGUUGGCUGCAGUGGCCCCUUCAAACCAGGUUGCACAAACAACACAUGUCCUUCUAAUACAAUC